AGCUUUGCGCAGUGGCAUUAUCGUAACCAAUGAGGUUUAUCCGAGGUGGGACUAUUGCUAGCUAAAAACUAAAAUGGAAAUGAACACUCCAAUGAUAAAAUUAAAAAAAUACGGGUCUCAUAUUUUGUGAUAAGGAACAAUACU